rnacentral:rRNA from 1 species
CCGGGCGGGAGCUAUACAUGCAAGUCGAGCGGACCGACGGGAGCUUGCUCCCUUAGGUCAGCGGCGGACGGGUGAGUAACACGUGGGUAACCUGCCUGUAAGACUGGGAUAACUCCGGGAAACCGGGGCUAAUACCGGAUGCUUGAUUGAACCGCAUGGUUCAAUCAUAAAAGGUGGCUUUUAGCUACCACUUACAGAUGGACCCGCGGCGCAUUAGCUAGUUGGUGAGGUAACGGCUCACCAAGGCGACGAUGCGUAGCCGACCUGAGAGGGUGAUCGGCCACACUGGGACUGAGACACGGCCCAGACUCCUACGGGAGGCAGCAGUAGGGAAUCUUCCGCAAUGGACGAAAGUCUGACGGAGCAACGCCGCGUGAGUGAUGAAGGUUUUCGGAUCGUAAAACUCUGUUGUUAGGGAAGAACAAGUACCGUUCGAAUAGGGCGGCACCUUGACGGUACCUAACCAGAAAGCCACGGCUAACUACGUGCCAGCAGCCGCGGUAAUACGUAGGUGGCAAGCGUUGUCCGGAAUUAUUGGGCGUAAAGCGCGCGCAGGCGGUUUCUUAAGUCUGAUGUGAAAGCCCCCGGCUCAACCGGGGAGGGUCAUUGGAAACUGGGGAACUUGAGUGCAGAAGAGGAGAGUGGAAUUCCACGUGUAGCGGUGAAAUGCGUAGAGAUGUGGAGGAACACCAGUGGCGAAAGCGACUCUCUGGUCUGUAACUGACGCUGAGGCGCGAAAGCGUGGGGAGCGAACAGGAUUAGAUACCCUGGUAGUCCACGCCGUAAACGAUGAGUGCUAAGUGUUAGAGGGUUUCCGCCCUUUAGUGCUGCAGCAACGCAUUAAGCACUCCGCCUGGGGAGUACGGUCGCAGACUGAAACUCAAAGGAAUUGACGGGGGCCCGCACAGCGGUGGAGCAUGUGGUUUAUUCGAAGCAACGCGAGACUUACAGUCUGACAUCUCUGACACCUAGAGAUAGGGCUUCCCUCGGGGCAGAGUGACAGUGUGCAUGAUGUCGUCAGCUCGUGUCUUGAGAUGUUGGGUAGUUCCCGCCACGAGCGCAUCU